AUACCAUACGAUGUCACACUCAGCAAAAAAAGGCCCAAGCACUCUGAACAGUAUUGGAAUCUUCCUCCGUGAAUAAAACUUCUAAGAUCUGAUGGUGACAGCAGGUUUGAUGAGGAGAGGACAGCAACACAGAGGAGGUGCAAAGUGCCCCAUUUGGGGCAUGUAUGAGAUGAAAUACUUCCAGAAUAGUUUAGAUGUAAUCUGAGCCUAAUGGAG